rnacentral:rRNA from 1 species
UACGGGGGGGGCAAGCGUUGUUCGGAAUUACUGGGCGUAAAGGGCGUCGUAGGUGGCCAAUUAAGUCAGACGUGAAAUCCCCAGGCUCAACUUGGGAACUGCGUCUGAUACUGGAUGGCUUGAAUUCGGGAGAGGGAUGCAGAAUUCCAGGUGUAGCGGUGAAAUGCGUAGAUAUCUGGAGGAACACCGGUGGCGAAGGCGGCAUCCUGGACCGGCAUUGACGCUGAGGAGCGAAAGCCAGGGGAGCAAACGGG